rnacentral:rRNA from 1 species
AACGAACGUUGGCGGCAUGCCUAACACAUGCAAGUCGAACGAGAUCUUCGGAUCUAGUGGCGCACGGGUGCGUAACGCGUGGGAAUCUGCCCCUUGCUUCGGAAUAACAGUGAGAAAUUACUGCUAAUACCGGAUGAUGUCUUCGGACCAAAGAUUUAUCGGCAAGGGAUGAGCCCGCGUAGGAUUAGGUAGUUGGUGGGGUAAUGGCCUACCAAGCCGACGAUCCUUAGCUGGUCUGAGAGGAUGAUCAGCCACACUGGGACUGAGACACGGCCCAGACUCCUACGGGAGGCAGCAGUGGGGAAUAUUGGACAAUGGGCGAAAGCCUGAUCCAGCAAUGCCGCGUGAGUGAUGAAGGCCUUAGGGUUGUAAAGCUCUUUUACCAGGGAUGAUAAUGACAGUACCUGGAGAAUAAGCUCCGGCUAACUCCGUG